rnacentral:rRNA from 1 species
CCUACGGGAGGCAGCAGUGAGGAAUAUUGGUCAAUGGUCGGGAGACUGAACCAGCCAAGCCGCGUGAGGGAUGAAGGUACAGAGUAUUGUAAACCUCUUUUGUCAGGGAACAAAGGCGGGGACGUGUCCCCGGAUGAGUGUACCUGAAGAAAAAGCAUCGGCUAACUCCGUGCCAGCAGCCGCGGUAAUACGGAGGAUGCGAGCGUUAUCCGGAUUUAUUGGGUUUAAAGGGUGCGCAGGCGGUCUGUUAAGUCAGCGGGGAAAGCCGGGGGCCCAACCCCGGGCCUGCCGUUGAAACUGGCAGUCUCGAGUUGGAGAGAAGUAUGCGGAAUGCGCGGUGUAGCGGUGAAAUGCAUAGAUAUCGCGCAGAACUCCGAUUGCGAAGGCAGCAUGCCGGCUCCACACUGACGCUGAGGCACGAAAGCGUGGGUAUCGAACAGGAUUAGAUACCCGGGUAGUC